rnacentral:rRNA from 1 species
ACUACGGGUGGCAGCAGUGGGGGAUAUUGGACAAUGGGGGGAACCCUGAUCCAGCGACGCCGCGUGAGUGAAGAAGUAUUGCGGUAUGUAAAGCUCUGUCAGCAGGGAAGAAAGCAAUGACGGUACCUGACCAAGAAGCCCCGGCGAACUACGUGCCAGCAGCAGCGGUAAUACGUAGGGGGCAAGCGUUAUACGGAAUUACUGGGUGUAAAGGGAGCGUAGACGGCUGUGCAAGUCUGGAGUGAAAGGCGGGGGCCCAACCCCCGGACUGCUCUGGAAACUGUAUGGCUGGAGUGCAGGAGAGGUAAGCGGAAUUGCUAGUGUAGCGGUGAAAUGCGUAGAUAUUAGGAGGAACACCAGUGGCGAAGGCGGCUUACUGGACUGUAACUGACGUUGAGGCUCGAAAGCGUGGGGAGCAAACAGGAUUAGAUACCCGUGUAGUC